rnacentral:rRNA from 1 species
GACGAACGCUGGCGGCGUGCCUAAUACAUGCAAGUAGAACGCUGAAGGAGGAGCUUGCUUCUCUGGAUGAGUUGCGAACGGGUGAGUAACGCGUAGGUAACCUGCCUGGUAGCGGGGGAUAACUAUUGGAAACGAUAGCUAAUACCGCAUAAUAUUGACUAUUGCAUGAUAGUCAGUUGAAAGGUGCAACUGCACCACUACCAGAUGGACCUGCGUUGUAUUUGCUAGUUGGUGGGGUAACGGCUCACCAAGGCGACGAUACAUAGCCGACCUGAGAGGGGGAUCGGCCACACUGGGACUGAGACACGGCCCAGACUCCUACGGGAGGGAGCAGUAGGGGAUCUUCGGCAAUGGACGGAAGUCUGACCGAGCAACGCCGCGUGAGUGAAGAAGGUUUUCGGAUCGUAAAGCUCUGCUGUAAGAGAAGAACGAGUGUGAGAGUGGAAAGCUCACACUGUGACGGUAGCUUACCAGAAAGGGACGGCUAACUACGUG